rnacentral:rRNA from 1 species
UACAGAGGGUGCGAGCGUUGUCCGGAAUUACUGGGCGUAAAGGGCUCGUAGGCGGCCAACUAAGUCGGACGUGAAAUCCCCAGGCUCAACCUGGGAACUGCGUCCGAUACUGGAUGGCUUGAAUUCGGGAGAGGGAUGCAGAAUUCCAGGUGUAGCGGUGAAAUGCGUAGAUAUCUGGAGGAAUACCGGUGGCGAAGGCGGCAUCCUGGACCGACAUUGACGCUGAGGAGCGAAAGCUAGGGGAGCAAACGGG